UACUGUGCGAGGACAUUGCUACUUACGGUUAGUUUUGCAGAUUUGCAGUUCAGCGUAUAUGUGGAUAUAUGGCUGUGCAAAUCCAUGCAAAACUGAUUGUGAUGAUGUGUGCCUUUCUGCAUCUUU
rnacentral:pre_miRNA from 14 species